GACGAACGCUGGCGGCGUGCUUAACACAUGCAAGUCGUACGGUAAGGCCCUUUCGGGGGUACACGAGUGGCGAACGGGUGAGUAACACGUGAGUAACCUGCCCACAACUUUGGGAUAACGCUAGGAAACUGGUGCUAAUACUGGAUAUGUGCUCCUGCUGCAUGGUGGGGGUUGGAAAGCUCCGGCGGUUGUGGAUGGACUCGCGGCCUAUCAGCUUGUUGGUGGGGUAGUGGCCUACCAACGCGGCGACGGGUAGCCGGCCUGAGAGGGUGACCGGCCACAUUGGGACUGAGAGACGGCCCAGACUCCUACGGGAGGCAGCAGCGGGGAAUAUUGCACAAUGGGCGCAAGCCUGAUGCAGCAACGCCGCGUGCGGGAUGACGGCCUUCGGGUUGUAACCCGCUUUCAGCAGGGACGAAGCUUUCUGUGACGGUACCUGCAGAAGAAGCACCGGCUAACUACGUG
rnacentral:rRNA from 1 species